AACGAACGCUGGCGGCAGGCUUAACACAUGCAAGUCGAACGCCCCGCAAGGGGAGUGGCAGACGGGUGAGUAACGCGUGGGAAUCUACCUAGUUCUACGGAACAACACAGGGAAACUUGUGCUAAUACCGUAUACGCCUUACGGGGGAAAGAUUUAUCGGAAUUAGAUGAGCCCGCGUUGGAUUAGCUAGUUGGUGGGGUAAUGGCCUACCAAGGCGACGAUCCAUAGCUGGUCUGAGAGGAUGAUCAGCCACACUGGGACUGAGACACGGCCCAGACUCCUACGGGAGGCAGCAGUGGGGAAUAUUGGACAAUGGGCGCAAGCCUGAUCCAGCCAUGCCGCGUGAGUGAUGAAGGCCUUAGGGUUGUAAAGCUCUUUCAGUGGGGAAGAUAAUGACGGUACCCAUAGAAGAAGCCCCGGCUAACUUCGUGCCAGCCGCCGCAGUAAAAC
rnacentral:rRNA from 1 species